rnacentral:rRNA from 1 species
UACAGAGACCUCAAGCGUUAUCCGGAUUUAUUGGGCGUAAAGCGUCCGCAGGUGGUUCAUUAAGUCGUCGGUCAAAUCCCGGGGCUCAACCCCGGAACUGCCGACGAUACUGGUGGACUUGAGACCGGUAGAGGCAAGCGGAAUUACAGGUGUAGCGGUAAAAUGCGUUUAUAUCUGUAAGAACACCAAAGGCGAAAGCAGCUUGCUGGAACGGUUCUGACACUCAUGGACGAAAGCGUGGGGAGCGAAA